UCUUCUGUGGUGUAGUGGUAUCAUGUUUGCCUGUCACGCAAGCGACCUGGGUUCAAUUCCCAGCAGGGGAG